GACGAACGCUGGCGGCGUGCUUAACACAUGCAAGUCGAACGGAAAGGCCCUGCUUUUGUGGGGUGCUCGAGUGGCGAACGGGUGAGUAACACGUGAGUAACCUGCCCUUGACUUUGGGAUAACUUCAGGAAACUGGGGCUAAUACCGGAUAGGAGCUCCUGCUGCAUGGUGGGGGUUGGAAAGUUUCGGCGGUUGGGGAUGGACUCGCGGCCUAUCAGCUUGUUGGUUGGGUAGUGGCUUACCAAGGCUUUGACGGGUAGCCUGCCUGAGAGGGUAACCGGACAAAUUGGGACUGGGAUGAGACACGGACUCCAACGGGAGGGAGCGGUGCGGAAUAUAACACAAUGGGCGGAAGCCUGGUGCAACAACGCCACGUGCGGGAUGACGGCCUUGGGGUAGUAUACCAAUUUCGCCUGUGACGGGGCGUGAGUGACGGUAAUGGGUAAAGAAGCACCGGCUAACUACGUG
rnacentral:rRNA from 1 species